AUAACAAAGAGCAACAGUUGACCAAUUAGAAAUAUACGGCAAGUCUUCAAUGGAUUUAUGAAUGUCAAUUUAAGUGGAUUCAUGUGGUGUAGGACCCAAAUUCAUUUGAAGUAAGUAGAUAAUAGUUUUAAUUAAUGUCAUCUCUGGUUCUUUUUUGCAGGGAAGAACAACACUAUAUGAUUGCUCCUCUGCUACAAAAUCAAGAUCACUUAUGGUGGUGUUGUCGGAGGCAUGCACCUUGGUUCAUCAGCCUUGGGCAUUCUUCCGGUUCUUGAACAAGAAACUGAUUAAAAACACUGUUUAUUUCUUUCACUUCAUUCGGCAAUUUUCUGCUGCUUUGUUGCACACAGAGUUGUACUCAAGCAGAUCAUUCGAGAUUUGGUCAUAUGAAGACUAAUCUGACUCGUCCUUCUUUUGUUUACUCAUAUGAAGAUUUGGUUAAUGAUGCAGAAUAACAAGCGAGGAAGGAACCUUUAGCGGGAUUGACUGAGUAGCACCAAGCACUUUCUUAGUCAAGGUGGAUUGAUCAGGGAAAAAUGAUGGUCAGUUACAGUGGAAAAGAGGCUAUCUCAAGGCACUUGAGAUACUUGUUAAAAGUACAAAGGAGGUUGUGAGGAGGAAUUCGCUCCACUGAAGGAAGGACAGUGUAUUUUUAUAUUUUUUAAUGCAAGUUUCAAUUUAAUUUGUAUGUGAAAUGGUACGAUAUAUUGCAAUACAAUUGUAUUUCCGAAA